GGUUCUGUAGCUCAGUAGGAUAGAGCGUUGGUUUUCUAAACCGAAGGGUAGAGGUUCGAAUCCUCUUAGGAUCA
rnacentral:tRNA from 1 species